rnacentral:rRNA from 1 species
CAGUAGCCACGGUAAUACAGAGGGUGCGAGCGUUAAUCGGAUUUACUUGGCGUAAAGCGUGCGUAGGCGGCUUCUUAAGUCGGAUGUGAAAUCCCUGAGCUUAACUUAGGAAUUGCAUUCGAUACUGGGAAGCUAGAGUAUGGGAGAGGAUGGUAGAAUUCCAGGUGUAGCGGUGAAAUGCGUAGAGAUCUGGAGGAAUACCGAUGGCGAAGGCAGCCAUCUGGCCUAAUACUGACGCUGAGGUACGAAAGCAUGGGGAGCAAACAGGAUUAGAUACCCCCGUAGUCCCUGUCUCUUAUAC